rnacentral:rRNA from 1 species
GACGAACGCUGGCGGCGUGCUUAACACAUGCAGGUCGAGCGAGAGAAAUUCCUUCGGGAAGGACUCUAGCGGCGGACGGGUGAGUAACACGUGGGUAACUUGCCUCAUAGAGGGGAAUAGCCUUUCGAAAGGAAGAUUAAUACCGCAUAAGAUUGUAGUAUCGCAUGAUGCAGCAAUUAAAGGAGUAAUCCGCUAUGAGAUGGACCCGCGUCGCAUUAGCUAGUUGGUGAGGUAACGGCUCACCAAGGCGACGAUGCGUAGCCGACCUGAGAGGGUGAUCGGCCACAUUGGGACUGAGACACGGCCCAGACUCCUACGGGAGGCAGCAGUGGGGAAUAUUGCACAAUGGGGGAAACCCUGAUGCAGCAACGCCGCGUGAGUGAUGACGGUCUUCGGAUUGUAAAACUCUGUCUUCAGGGACGAUAAUGACGGUACCUGAGGAGGAAGCCACGGCUAACUACGUGCCAGCCGCCGCCGUAA